rnacentral:telomerase_RNA from 1 species
GUUUUAUUGGGGCUGGUCCGGUAUUAGUUGGGGCCCAAACUGGGUACACAGGUUGUACCUGAAAACCCUAAACCGGUCGUACAUGUGCCUCAAUGGGUGCAGUUUCCGUACAUGCGGGGUUUUCCGUCCGGCCCUUUCCCCGUUUCAAAACAAAACAAGGGCUGAUGCACGGGGACCCACUGCUGCUGGGCCAGAAUAUACUCUCACUGUGGAGGGGGCUAUGUCUACGGUGUUCUAUCUCGGUGUGUCCGAGCUCUGGGUCCUCCGGACACUGGCUGCACCCCAAUAAGAACCCACAGAUCGGA